AUGCGGGCUCUGAUGGAUGUUCGGUGCAAGAAUCUAGUGAACCCUGUAUGCGACUGGCUCGGUGAGAUUUACGAGCCCGCCUCCAGGGAAUUUGUGAUUCCGGGACGUGGAAGACUGCCGUUAGAUGAGGAAUCUGUGUUCUGCAUGUUGGGUGUGCCCCGUGGAGAAAUCAAAGUCCCGUAUGAGGUCAAUAAUACGAUUGAGGAAACGUUGUUUGCCCGUUUGUUUCCUGGGAUGACAUCCAUGCCGAACACGACCGUGCUGGCAACUUCGCUGGAGGGCAUGAAAACCCAUGGCGAAGUUUUUAAGAUGAAGCUACUCAUGUACCUGAUCUCAGCUGUUUUUGCGCCGACCACAUCUCUUCGCCCAAGCAACAAAUGCUUCCCCAUCUUGGCAAAACUGAAAGAAGUGAAGAACAUGAAUUGGUGUAAGUUCAUUGCGGACUUCCUGCAUGAUGCAUUCUCAAAUAAGAUGUACCAGAAGGGUUGUCGACUCCAUUUAAUGCUCAUUUACGUCGAUCGUCUUGAUCUAUCCACUGUGGACUUUACUGGGAUAGGAGGCCCGCCGCCUCCACACAAUUUUGUUGUUUCUGCGUGGACUUACGAUGCUGUCAAGGUUGUGCUUGCCACGGACAAGAUAACUGAUACGAAAUACGGGAAACUGUAG
rnacentral:rRNA from 1 species